GUAGAGAAGAGAGAGAAAGAAGAAGAAAGGAAAAGAGGAAGAAGAAGAAAGAAGAAGGGAAAAUCGACCGUAGAGCUUCACCAGAGCUGGGUCUUAGUAUUUUGAGCUUGGAUUAAUGAUCAACUUGGUGGGAUCUUCGAUUUGAGAUUCACUGGGGUGGAUUUCGUUCUAUAGAAGAUCUUUUUUCAUGGUGGAAGAGAAAGUCAAAUGCAGUUCAAUUGCAUCUUGCUUGGGAAGCUCUUUUAAUCAUCAUUCUGUACAAUCUCUGGAAAGAAAGGAACAAAGGAAUUUGCAUCUCAAGACUAUCCCUCAGAAGUCAAAAGAAAUUUGUGAAGUUAUUUUGAAGCCUCCCACCCAUGAAUCCAUAAAGCUGAAUAUAGAUGGGUGUUCGUUAGUAAACCCAGGUCGAUCAGGUGCAGGGGGUGUUUUUAGGGACAGCAGAGGAUCACACAUAAGAAGCUUCUCCUGCAGUCUUGUGUCUCAUCUAAUUUCUUUGCUGAAUUUGAAGCAGACUUGAUUGGGAUUGUCAUGCAAAAUCUAAGAGCUGGAAAAACAUGUGUAUUGAAUGCGACUCUCAGGCGGUGGUUUUUUGCAUACAACAAAAUAUUAUCCCUUGGAUUUUUCAACAACAAUGGAGAUCCUACAAAGCUUUUUUGGAUAGUUCUACUUGGACAAUCUCGCACUAUUUCAGGGAGGCCAACAAUGUUGCAAAAAAAUUAGCUAAACAUGCACCCUCCACUUAGACUUCAACAACUUGGGACACUUCCCCAAAUUUUCUUUUCAAAGAUCUUGUUUGGGAUGCUCAAAUGAAGCCAAGAUAUAGGUUCUUAUAAGAAGGGUUUUUUCUUUCUUAAUUGAGCUAUUUUUCUACUGAUGGCCAUGCCGAAGGUGGAUCAAUAGCUCAAUUUCAGAUUUAGUAAAAUAAUUUUCUUCUUUGUGUUUGUUCUUCUAUCUUGCUGAUGGCCAUGCCAAAGGUGGUUUAGAAGUUCAAUGGUUGAGCAUCACCUUGUA